CCCCCAGCGAUGCCCUGCCACGGAGGGACCCCCAGCGAUGUCCUGCCACGGAGGGACCCCCAGCGAUGUCCUGCCACGGAGGGACCCCCAGCGAUGCCCUGUCAUAGAGGGACCCCCAGUGAUGCCCUACCACGGAGGGACCCCCAGCGAUGCCCUGUCAUAGAGGGACUCCCAGCGAUGUCCUGCCACGGAGGGACCCCCAGCGAUGCCCUGUCAUAGAGGGACCCCCAGUGAUGCCCUGUCAUAGAGGGACUCCCAGCGAUGUCCUGCCACAGAGGGACCCCCGGCGAUGCCCUGUCAUAGAGGGACCCCCAGUGAUGCCCUACCAUGGAGGGACCCCCAGCGAUGUCCUGCCACGGAGGGACCCCCAGCGAUGCCCUGUCAUAGAGGGACCCCCAGCGAUGUCCUGCCACGGAGGGACCCCCGGCGAUGCCCUGUCAUAGAGGGACCCCCAGUGAUGCCCUACCACGGAGGGACCCCCAGCGAUGCCCUGUCAUAGAGGGACCCCCAGUGAUGUCCUACCAUGGAGGGACCCCCGGCGAUGCCCUGUCAUAGAGGGACUCCCAGCGAUGUCCUGCCACGGAGGGACCCCCGGCGAUGCCCUGUCAUAGAGGGACCCCCAGCGAUGUCCUGCCACGGAGGGACCCCCAGCGAUGCCCUGUCAUAGAGGGACUCCCAGCGAUGUCCUGCCACGGAGGGACCCCCAGCGAUGCCCUGUCAUAGAGGGACCCCCAGUGAUGCCCUACCAUGGAGGGACCCCCAGCGAUGUCCUGCCACGGAGGGACCCCCAGCGAUGCCCUGUCAUAGAGGGACCCCCAGUGAUGUCCUGCCACGGAGGGACCCCCGGCGAUGCCCUGUCAUAGAGGGACCCCCAGUGAUGCCCUACCACGGAGGGACCCCCAGCGAUGCCCUGUCAUAGAGGGACCCCCAGUGAUGUCCUGCCACGGAGGGACCCCCAGCGAUGCCCUGUCAUAGAGGGACCCCCAGCGAUGUCCUGCCACGGAGGGACCCCCAGCGAUGCCCUGUCAUCUCCAGAGCGAAGCCACCAGAAAGGAACGAGAGCUGUUAUUGCAAAGUCCUAAUUAGAAACACGGGUGGAUCUUGGGUGAAUAUUUCCCGUAAUUGUACACGCAGGUCAUGUGGACUUGGGACCAUUAUUUCUUUGCCAGCUUCCUGAGAAGAGAGUGUCACCAUCAGAGCGAAUCUGACAAAUAAGCCAGAGGGCUGGAGGAGGACAAGUCCGCAGAGGGAUUCGAGCAUUCUGGCUGGCGCGUGGCGAGCACUGAACUCGGCUCGUGGACUGAACAGACCUCCCCCGGCCUGCGUGGCAUGGUCAGCAAGGCAUCUGUGCUUUUGAGAGUGUCUUUCCCAAACCAUCUAUCGGAAGACAAACAGCAAAUAAAUGGUCACAGUUCCCACUAGGACCCUCUCUGCACAGGAAUAAGGAAUCCCAGGGGGAUAGCUUCUGUUUGUUGCCCCCGGAGCGUACGCGCGAGUCAAGGAAUUAAAAACCACAUGUGGGCUUUGCCGGCCGG